rnacentral:piRNA from 1 species
UGAAUUUGAUGAGGUUAUAUU